rnacentral:rRNA from 1 species
CUUGAUGAACGCUAGCUACAGGCUUAACACAUGCAAGUCGAGGGGCAGCAUCAUCAAAGCUUGCUUUGAUGGAUGGCGACCGGCGCACGGGUGAGUAACACGUAUCCAACCUGCCGACAACACUGGGAUAGCCUUUCGAAAGAAAGAUUAAUACCGGAUGGCAUAAUUAUUCCGCAUGGGAUAAUUAUUAAAGAAUUUCGGUUGUCGAUGGGGAUGCGUUCCAUUAGGCAGUUGGCGGGGUAACGGCCCACCAAACCUACGAUGGAUAGGGGUUCUGAGAGGAAGGUCCCCCACAUUGGAACUGAGACACGGUCCAAACUCCUACGGGAGGCAGCAGUGAGGAAUAUUGGUCAAUGGACGAGAGUCUGAACCAGCCAAGUAGCGUGAAGGAUGACUGCCCUAUGGGUUGUAAACUUCUUUUAUACGGGAAUAAAGUGAGCCACGUGUGGCUUUUUGUAUGUACCGUAUGAAUAAGGAUCGGCUAACUCCGUGCCAGCAGCCGCGGUAAUACGGAGGAUCCGAGCGUUAUCCGGAUUUAUUGGGUUUAAAGGGAGCGUAGGCGGGUUGUUAAGUCAGUUGUGAAAGUUUGCGGCUCAACCGUAAAAUUGCAGUUGAUACUGGCGACCUUGAGUGCAACAGAGGUAGGCGGAAUUCGUGGUGUAGCGGUGAAAUGCUUAGAUAUCACGAAGAACUCCGAUUGCGAAGGCAGCUUACUGGAUUGUAACUGACGCUGAUGCUCGAAAGUGUGGGUAUCAAACAGGAUUAGAUACCCUGGUAGUCCACACAGUAAACGAUGAAUACUCGCUGUUGGCGAUAUACAGUCAGCGGCCAAGCGAAAGCAUUAAGUAUUCCACCUGGGGAGUACGCCGGCAACGGUGAAACUCAAAGGAAUUGACGGGGGCCCGCACAAGCGGAGGAACAUGUGGUUUAAUUCGAUGAUACGCGAGGAACCUUACCCGGGCUUAAAUUGCAACUGACGGAACCGGAAACGGUUCUUUCUUCGGACAGUUGUGAAGGUGCUGCAUGGUUGUCGUCAGCUCGUGCCGUGAGGUGUCGGCUUAAGUGCCAUAACGAGCGCAACCCUUACGGGUAGUUACCAUCAGGUUAUGCUGGGGACUCUACCCGGACUGCCGUCGUAAGAUGUGAGGAAGGUGGGGAUGACGUCAAAUCAGCACGGCCCUUACGUCCGGGGCUACACACGUGUUACAAUGGGGGGUACAGAAGGCAGCUACACGGCGACGUGGUGCUAAUCCCAAAAGCCUCUCUCAGUUCGGAUUGGAGUCUGCAACCCGACUCCAUGAAGCUGGAUUCGCUAGUAAUCGCGCAUCAGCCACGGCGCGGUGAAUACGUUCCCGGGCCUUGUACACACCGCCCGUCAAGCCAUGAAAGCCGGGGGUACCUGAAGUACGUAACCGCGAGGAGCGUCCUAGGGUAAAACUGGU